GGAAAACAAAAGCCAACAAGCUGAGAGGGGUUCAACGGCAGAAUGAAAAGAGUUGAAGUUCUCACUAAGUCACUGAACUGACACCUAUCUCAGUACUUCCUGUUAAGACAACAAUAAAUAUCCUGAUGAUUAAGUCAUUGCAGGACUGGCUUUUUGGUAUUCGCAGCUGCAAGCGUUCUUAACUGAUAUAUCCACAGAAGUUCAAAAUCCCCAGUACAUAGCUGUCUACAGUUGUAAGUUCUUCUAGUUCUUCUGUGUGGGCCACCACCACAGCAUGGCUACUGACAGACAAGUGAUGUGGUUCCACACCCAGGAACCGAACCCAGACAAUAGAAGAAGAGCGUGCUGAACUUUAACACUAGGCCCUCAGGGCUGGCUCUCAAGAUACAUUUUGAAAGUAGAAUCAACAGGAUGAGAAAUAAACUUGAGAGCAAGCAGGCGGCCCAAGUACACAGAACGUAAGUGCACCAUUAGCCCAGAGAAGAAGUAGGACAGCUUGUGGUGACCUAAGGAAAAAGCUUGUAACUAUCAGAAGAAGGAGGAGAAGAAGUAGCUGGAGGUCAAAUGAAGAAUAGUUUGGCACAGAGGCCUAGACAAAUCAUGACAAAUACAAAAGACGGAAACAUUCCAGAAUCCUAAUAAAGCUACAUUUAUAAGUACCUCACUGGAAGACCAGAAUUGUUUCCUAGCCUAUAUUUUAUAAUGGACUACAGUCAAAAUUAGAGCUUUGCAUCACAGAAUAAGAAGAUUACUCUAAAGCAAUAGGAUAUGAUAAUUAUGGAAGUAAGAGAAAUGGAAGUGUAAACAAAGUCUGAUUAUUCCAAUCUUCUUGAAAAUUAUCAAGCUAUUUUUUACCAAUGAGGAGACCAACAGGAGCACUGGGGUUUUGAAGAGAACUGAUUUCAGAGAGAACCUAAAGAGAAACAUGGAAGAUGCAGGAGACUGCUUGGACUUUGAGAAAUAAUCUCUGAGCACUGAAAGGAAUACAAGAUAAGUGCUGCUCUCUCUGAGAGUGGAUAGGGUUGUAAAGAAUUCACUGACUUGCUCCACGUCUUCUUGAUAACUAUGCCAAGGAAAGAGAAAGAAGAACUAGUGAAGAAACCAACAAAAGAAUAUUAUGACAGGGGGGGAACGAGAGCCAGUGAGGUGCAUCAGAACCACCUAAAGGGACUGUCAAAAAUGUGGAUCUGCUGGCUCCACUCCACACAGACUCGACCAGAAGCUCUGCCAGUGUGGCCCCAGGAAUCUGCAUUGCUAAGCUCACACAGGUGAUUCUUCUGUAUGUUCUAACGUCAUGAAAAACAAAGGAAGAGUUUCAAAGAAAAGGUGGGCAACAAUGAAAAAUUAUAUAAAAAUGUAAACACUAAAAAAUAUGAAAAAUGUAAGAUUCACCACAAAUGAGAGAAAAUCCUGCUGAUUUUCCUAUUUUUAAACUAAAAAGAUAUUGAAGUAAGCAUACCCCGUGGAUGGUGGAGCAGAAAGCUGUGAACCUGGAUCCUUGAUGGCUGCGUUCAGCAGCUGAAUCAACCAUAACAUCACCUGCCUCCGGACUUCCAAUGUGAGAAAAAUAAACCCCUUUUAAUUAAAGUAAGAGUGUAUAUUCUUGUUUGCAGUAAAUUUACUUGGUAAUAACGGGUAAAGAAUGAAUGCUUGUGAAUAGUAAUGACAACACUUAUUGAGUGUUUACUACACAUCAAGCACUUUAAGAGCUUUAUACAAAUAUCUCACCAAAUCCCCA
ensembl:lncRNA